GAUGAACGCUAGCUACAGGCUUAACACAUGCAAGUCGAGGGGAAACGACAUCGAAAGCUUGCUUUUGAUGGGCGUCGACCGGCGCACGGGUGAGUAACGCGUAUCCAACCUGCCCAUCACUUGGGAAUAACCUUGCGAAAGUAAGACUAAUACCCAAUGAUAUCCCACGAAGGCAUCGGAAUGGGAUUAAAGAUUUAUCGGUGAUGGAUGGGGAUGCGUCUGAUUAGCUUGUUGGCGGGGUAACGGCCCACCAAGGCAACGAUCAGUAGGGGUUCUGAGAGGAAGGUCCCCCACAAUGGAACGGAGACACGGUCCAAACUCCUACGGGAGGCAGAAGUGAGGAAUAUUGGUCAAUGGGCGAAAGCCUGAACCAGCCAAGUAGCGUGCAGGAAGACGGCCCUAUGGGUUGUAAACUGCUUUUAUAAGGGAAUAAAGUGGGUCACGUGUGACUUUUUGCAUGUACCUUAUGAAUAAGGACCGGCUAAUUCCGUG
rnacentral:rRNA from 1 species